AGCGAGCGCUGGCGGCAGGCCUAACACAUGCCAGUCGAACGAACUCUUCGGAGUUAGUGGCGGACGGGUGAGUAACACGUGGGAACGUGCCUUUUGGUUCGGAAUAACUCAGGGAAACUUGUGCUAAUACCGAAUGUGCCCUUCGGGGGAAAGAUUUAUCGCCAUUAGAGCGGCCCGCGUCUGAUUAGCUAGUUGGUGAGGUAACGGCUCACCAAGGCGACGAUCAGUAGCUGGUCUGAGAGGAUGACCAGCCACACUGGGACUGAGACACGGCCCAGACUCCUACGGGAGGCAGCAGUGGGGAAUCUUGCGCAAUGGGCGAAAGCCUGACGCAGCCAUGCCGCGUGAAUGAUGAAGGUCUUAGGAUUGUAAAAUUCUUUCACCGGGGACGAUAAUGACGGUACCCGGAGAAGAAGCCCCGGCUAACUUCGUG
rnacentral:rRNA from 1 species